GACGAACGCUGGCGGCGUGCUUAACACAUGCAAGUCGAACGGAAAGGCCCUGCGUUUGUGGGGUGCUCGAGUGGCGAACGGGGGAGUAACACGUGAGUAACCUGCCCUUGACUUUGGGAUAACUUCAGGAAACUGGGGCGAAUACCGGAUAGGAGCUCCUGCUGCAUGGGGGGGGAUGGAAAGUUUCGGCGGUGGGGGAUGGACUCGCGGCUUAUCAGCUUGUUGGUGGGGUAGUGGAGUCCCAAGGCUUUGACGGGUAGCCGGCCUGAGAGGUUGGCCGGCCACCUUGGUCCUGAGAUACGGCCCAGACUCCUACGGUAGGCAGCAGUGGGGAAUAUUGCACAAUGGGCGGAAGCCUGAUGCAGCAACGCCGCGUGCGGGAUGCCGGCCUUCGGGUUGUAAACCGCUUUCGCCUGUGACGAAGCGUGAGUGACGGUAAUGGGUAAAGAAGCCCCGGCUAACUACGUG
rnacentral:rRNA from 1 species